rnacentral:lncRNA from 1 species
UCAAGGUUUGAAUUUACAAUCUCCUGCUUCAAUACUGCAACAAAUUAAGAUAACAUAAUUUUUUAAUUCUUUUACCGGCGAACCACGUCGUUGGCGACCCCUCCAAUUCAUUUUUGCUAACAAACCACGCUGGUGGAAGGGGGUUUCUUUGAUGUUAUUCAUUUUUGAAGGAUCAGCACGACCUCGGCGAACAACGCUGCUGGGGGUGGGGAUUCUUCAUUGUUCUUCAAGUAAGAACAUUGUUAUACAGAGCUAUGGUAUGUGUAUGGGUAAAGUCACGAAAUCUUCAAGUAAAAAAAAAUUGAAGGAUUAGCACGACCUCAGCUUUCAAAGAUUUUGUGAUUUGCUUUUGCUCUAUAUUUUCUUAUUUUAUUAUUAUAUCUUAUACAUUGUUAGACAUAACUAUGUUAUGUAUAGGGAUAAAGUCUCAUUUUUUUUUUAUGAGAUCUGCUCUUAUUUCUACUUCAUAUACAUUAAUACGCAAUGUAUAUGGUUGACCCAAUUUGUUAUUAUACAUGCAAGAGUUAUUGUAUAAGGGUUAUCAGUGACAUAUAAUGUAUGUGGCUUAAAGUAUUCUGAUCUUAUACAUGUAAGACUUAUGUAUAAGGGAUUGUCUGUAUUAUGCAAUUUAUAUGAUUUGUCCCAAUGUUAUAUGUUUUAUAUAUAAAAUUAUUGUUUACUGCUACUAUUUUUU